UUUUAAAUGUGUGUUCCCUUUUUAGUAUUUAUAGGUAUUCUAGCUGGCUAUAUUAUACUGCUAUAAAUAUUUGCUAUUUUUCCAUAGUUCUGUACCAGAGGUUAUGAAAAAAACCUAGACCACAAAGCUUCAUUAUAAAUUCAGUAGAACAAGGAGAAGUGAUGAGAAGAAUCUAAACCCCAAAACUUCAUCCCAAUUUAAGAAGAACAAGAAGUAUAGUUUCUAGAUUGAGAUUGAACCACAGCCACUUCAAGACAGUGACUAAAGAAUCUCCUCACAAUAUUGGAAAAUUAAGGCCUUUUCCAUUGAUAAGCAGGUUCGCAGAAUUUGUGAGACAGAAAAGGUCAAACGGCUAUGGCUGAAGAUUGGCAGCACCACCCUCUUCAUUUCUGUACUCCUCCAAAAAGUAAAGAAGAAAGAAGAAAUUUUAACAAAGUGGGGUUUAGGAAAUCAUCCAGAUAGUUCAGUAAGCAGUAAUGGUAAUGUCCUUACAUUAUUAGACGGUUGCUGGAGGAUUUUUACAUAAGCAGCAAUCUGAGGAAAACCUGUUGGCCUGUAAAAAUUAUACAGCUAGGUGAAAUUUGCCCUCAUAGUCACAGUCUUUCAAUAUUUGAUGUAAUAAAUGUGUACUUUCAGUUAGUCCUUUGUGAAUUGUCUCCUGUAAAAUAAAUUUGUCUACCUUUGUAUAAUA